GGAGAUGGCAGUGUGGCUCCACGCAAGAGGUACUCCCGCCGCCAUCUCCCGCGGCCGCGACCUAGGAAGCUCCUAAAAUGUCGACUUGAAGCUCGCCUUUCUGGAAUGGGAUCUGCGGGAACAGCAGUCGUAUAUUUUCCCUGCUGCUCAUGCCAACCUGAAAGCCUCCCGGGGACACAAGCAUGCGCCAGGGCUUGCCUGACCGUUGGCGCUCCCUCCUCCCAGACCCCAUUCCGAGACCGCUGUGAUGCGUGGCAGCAGCGGGGUGGUGCGGAUGGUGCGGGGCUGCGGCUCAGAGAGCUGGUUCUAUUCCAGGGUCACAGUACUCAUCACAGCAGUGAUCUAGGUGCAGCGAGGCGCGCGGGGACGGUCAUUCACGACAGAACGACAAGGGGACGAACACCUACAGCCCUAGGACCAGAUGACCCCACAAAGAACGCAGCUGGUGGCCACAGGUCCCGCCGACCCUCGAGGCCCCAAAACCUGCGACCUGUUUUAGGGACCGGUACCGGACCUAGAGAGCCAGCACCAGAGAGAGAGAGAAGGCCCAGACGUCAGGACUCGGCCGGUUUGAAUGCCUGAAUUUAAAAUUAGGCGGCUGAAAAUUGGUUAGUUAUAAAAUCUUACUUGGUGGCUGUCUAGUGUAGAUCUGCUGCGAAUUUGGCUGCGCUGGGGUAACUCAGGGCAUAGACUAGAAACUGUUAGGUUAUUCAAAAAACAUACGAUAUGUUUAAAUAAGUAGAAUAGCACCCUAACUCCAGGAUUGGUGUUCACACAGUUGAAGUCACUCUUGCUUCUCUGGCAGAGGUAUUUCUUUGACAUUGAAAUGCCAAGGCUUCUCUGGCGUAGCCGGCUGUGGAGGCCAGAAGCUACUGGGAUGUGGAGGCCCAUCCACUCCCAGCCUACUUUUGAUGCUAGAGGGGGAACAUACCCCUAAGCAAACGCGGCCAGGGUGUAGGGUGGUUUCGGAAAGAAAACACAGGAGCAAACACAGAACCAAUCCUUCGAAGCGCCGUGAAUAAAGGCUGUGCUGUGCAUUUAUUUGGGUCGUAAUAGUCUCAGCCAAGCCCACAAAAUGUUUAUGACUCGCAUCUCCGUGCUCAACACGCUGUAAAACUAGGGACUCGAUUUUGGCUGACAUCUCUCCUGGGUCUCCAUCUCUCUCUCUCUCUCUCUCCCUCCUACUCCCUUAAAAAAUCUUCCUAUAUAUAUACACGUGGGCAUUAUAGACACAUAUCAUCAUUAUAUUUUCGUAUGUAACACACGCUACUUCACAGCCUCUGCUUGUAGGAAGGGUUUUAUAGCUUCCUGGAGAAGUCACCCGUGCUCGCCUAUCCUAAUCCUCAGAAAUCACUCUUUAUGUAACUGUACAUAAUCAGAGAAAUCGCUGACCAGUGGACACAAAUAGAAAGCUCCAUGUUUCUAACAAUGGAAGAUACAGGUUGGCGGCACCCCUUUUCUGCACCGAUCACAGAGGCCCCAGGUAGGUGCAGGCCUCCAGGGGCUCAGAGGCCUGGUGAACUGCCUAGGCCGUCAGCAUCCCUUGCCCUUGGCCGAGUGACGGCCUGCUGGCAGGCUGCUAUUUGGUUUUCGUUGCUUGAGAGGCUUCGCUCAGGCAAGACCUGGCAAGAAACCGAGCUCAUUUAUUCGCUCCGGGGAGGAAGCUCGAAGUCUCUCACCAGGUGGGGACAAAAGCUAAAAUCAGCAGCCUCUGCGGGGAAGGAGAUUAGAAACAUUUAAAGACCCCAAACUCGGGACCAUUGGACUCCCAAGAAGGCGCCAUUCGCUGCCAAGGGCUGAGUUAACAGUCUAAAUCUAGAUUUAAAUAUUGAAGACUAUUUGGCAACAGAAAGCAUAGGGAACAAACUCUGACUGGAGGUUUGGAAGCUAACUCUGGGAGAGCGUUGAGAAAUAUUUAGAUAGUUCUGCAGAUUAAAAACUGGUUUAUAAGGCGUCUUCUCCUGGGCCUGGGUUAAAUAGUAUGUGAAUCUUAUGCAUAAUAGAUACAUUUCUGUCAAAUAAGUAGGGAACCAUUGGUCAAAGAACACAUAAUUAAAUAGGCCUUAUUGAGAGUCCGAUUUUGUUCAGACUUUUGUGUUGUGAAGUCUAGCCAGGGAAUAGAGACCCAGAAACGAAGGGAAAGGUUUUCGGUGACCUCGGGGACCCUGCUCAGAUGGAAGACUUGGGCCCAGAAGUGCCAAGGCCUGGAAAGCGGCAGAAUUUGGACCUUAUUUGGCAAACGGGGACAGAGACUCUUGCCGGGACGCCUUGGUCGUGCCAGGACCAAAUCCAGAAGACCUACUUAGGCGUGUGGAGGUCCAGGGGUAGCUUGGCUGAGAGCUGCCAGAAGCCUGUGUUUAGAAAAUUGUGGACCCGAACUUCCAAGCUGUCGGAGGAUGACCCAGUUCUCAACCCCCCAGCCCCCUCCGGGGAUCCAGGGGUAGUACCAGGGGUUGUGGGAAGGACAAAGGGGGUGUUGAGCCACCAGAUGAGUUGCUGCGGGCCAGCCAGGUGCCUGGGAGUGAAUGCAGGGAGACUGCAUUCGCUCCUGUGCGGGAGGAGGAAAGGGAAUCCCACGUUAAUAAAUCUGUUGGCAAAUGAGGCUCAUUAAUAGAUAAAUAUUUCACUGCUUCCUUUAG
ensembl:lncRNA